rnacentral:sRNA from 1 species
AAAAGAGGGGUCCUCUUCGCAGCGUGGUGUGCAUAGCCCCACCUUGUGUGGGGAGAGCCUGAAGCGCUGUCCGGACAACCACCUGGUUAGCCAGGUUCAAACCUCAUCCCUCAAACGGCACAAAGGCGGGGGGUCC